AGCCACUAUCUCGCAACCUCAGGAUCGAGGGAAGCUCGCCCCAAACUGGGAAGGCCCAUAUGAGGUCAAAGAAGUAGUUCGGCCCGGAACUUAUUAUCUUAAGGAGAUCGGAGGAGCCGACCUCCCGCGACCAUGGAGCUCGGAGAACUUACGAAUGUACUACCAAUAACUUCAUUUUAACUAAAAGUUGUAUAUCUACAUGUCUUUGGCACUAUCCUACAUUUACAGGACAAUCCAAACAAAUUAUAUCAGAAGCAAGAGAGGAACCUCGUCUCGGCAAAAUUGAAGGCCCGAUUUCCUUUAGACCGGAUGGGGGGAGAGGUCCAGCAACGUCCAUAUGUGCCCCCACAGCCCUGUUAGGGACAGGAGGAGAACCUCGCCCUAACUUGAGCAAAGUCGAAGGCCCGAUUCCCUUUAGAUCGGAUGGGGGGAGAGGCCCAGCAACGUCCAUAUGCGCCCCCACAGCCCUGUUAGGGACAGGAGGAGAACCUCGCCCUAACUUAAGCAAAGUCGAAGGC
rnacentral:lncRNA from 1 species